UUUGCACCCAAACCCAAAGGUCACAUCCUCUCAGUGUUGUGAUUUUGUCUGGUGUGCGAACAGAAAUCUGAUCCUUGUCGCCUUUCUCUGACGCUGCCGUGUUUUUGAAAGUGAAUUCAAGGUUCAACAGAC